GAUGAACGCUGGCGGCGUGCCUAAUACAUGCAAGUCGAGCGAAUUGUUGAGUUUACUCAACAGUUAGCGGCGGACGGGUGAGUAACACGUGGGCAACCUGCCUAUAAGACUGGGAUAACUUCGGGAAACCGGAGCUAAUACCGGAUAUGUUCUUUCUCGCAUGAGAGAAGAUGGAAAGACGGUUUCGGCUGUCACUUAUAGAUGGGCCCGCGGCGCAUUAGCUAGUUGGUGAGGUAAUGGCUCACCAAGGCAACGAUGCGUAGCCGACCUGAGAGGGUGAUCGGCCACACUGGGACUGAGACACGGCCCAGACUCCUACGGGUGGCAG
rnacentral:rRNA from 1 species